UGACUCAGAUCUAGAGUAUAUUUGGCCAAA
rnacentral:piRNA from 1 species